rnacentral:lncRNA from 1 species
UUCUUUGUGGUCUUCCCCUGGGAACCUCAGCAGACAGGGGUCCUGAGCAGUAGAGUCCAUUGGCUCUGAAAAUGGCCUGUUUCCUUAUUUACUUGACUUGGCACCUUGGAGGGCACGAUGGGGCUUACCACAGCCCAGCCCAGCCCAGCCUCUCAAGUCCAGGGAUGGUAUUCUGACUGGAGGGGACAGUCAGAUGGCUUCAGGAAGUUUCUAAGUUUCACAUGUGACACAAACUUGCAACUACUGCCCUCUGGUGGUUAGGUUUGGUUCAUUGAGGGAAAGAAUGGUUUGGUAAAUUGAUGGCAUCUCCUUGAGCUUUAUGUUUCUGGUUUGAGUCUCUUACGCCCUUUCUUGAAAUCUAGAAUCAUAGGUUGCCAUUGUGAUAGUAGGAUUCCCUUCCUAGGUUGUGUGUGUGUGUGCGCGCGCGCAUGUCUAUAAGUGCACAUUUGUGUGUGUCUGUGUAUGUGUAUAUAUGUUUGUUUAUAUGUGUGUGUAUGUCUGUGUGUGUCCUUGUGUAUGUGUGCAUGUCUAUGUGUGUAUGUGUGUGUUGGUGUGCACGUGUGCAUGUGUGAGUGUGUGUGUGUGAUUGGAGUCAUGUAGGAGGCACAUGGAGAAACUAGGAUGUUCCCAUGUCCCAUGGAGGCUGUAAAAAUAGGCCAGGUGAGGCCAGCUGGGGAUGGGGAGAUAGUUUACUCUGAGGACCACCAAAAUUUCCCCCGAAUCAGAGUCCUUGAGUUAUUCCUUAGAGGAAAUUUUGUCUUUCCAUGUAAGAAGGCCAUGUCAGCUCAAGGCAUCCCGCAUUGGCAAAUGUCUUGGAGCACUGGGGAAGAGAAAGCUCUUCCACCCCAUUUCAAGGUAGGUGCAAGCCAGGACCCUGCUAGCAACAACCUCAACACUUCUCAUGAGUAGUAAUUCCUUUCUAGUUGUUACCUUUAAAAUAUUGGCACACACCUUUACUCCCAGCACUUGGGAGGCAGAGGCAGGUGAAUUUCUGAGUUCAAGGCCAGCCUGGUCUACAGAGUGAGUUCAAGGACAGCCAGGGCUACACAGAGAAACCCUGUCUCGAAAAAACCAAAACCAAAUAUAUAUUGUACUAUUUAAACAAUCCAUGCUUACCCUCCCUGCCUCCAAGCUGCCCCAUAGAAAGGAAGACUGCUUCCUGUCUCCCCACUUCCCUGGUGAGAAGAUGAGAAAUCUCGCUUGGUCAACAUCUCAUCUCCCUAGGGAUCUGGGUGGAGCCUCCAUCCUCAUCUUGUCGUCACAGUCCAGAGCACCAGGGGACUCCUUGUUUACCCUUCUGUGGGCUGACACCAAACAGAAUGCACAGAGUCACACUUAAGGGGGAAGAGUGUUUCUUAGCAGAACAAAGUGUUGGGAGGGGGGCAGAAGGAUGUUACUCAUCUCCCCACACUGGCUCCCUGAGAGGCAUUGUCCUCGCCUUUGAUGACAAGUCACCCUUUGAAUAGUGGGGCCUGAGAAGCAAGCGUCCACCUGACUGUCUUGAGAGCACAUGCUCACAAAACCUGGGUGCCUUGGAUCAGCACAGGGCCACCAUUUUCUCGUUGCCAUCUGAGUGGCCUCUUCACCUGCAGACACUGCUCCCUCCCAGGGGUUGAAGUUGAAAAUGUGGUGCUAGCCGAAUGAGCCCCAGACUAAAGCAAUGGUGCUGCUUUGUGGCAAAGUUGGCUCCUGAGACUGGGACAAAGUGCUUUGUGUUUGUACGCCCAGGUGCUCUAGUGGGGGAGCGGGGAGACACCCAGAAAGCUCCUGGAGGGUCUCACGAAGGUGCUAGGAGGUCACCUGUACCCACCUUUCCACCCACGCUUGCCAGAUGGGGGCUACUCUGUCAUCAUAAGUAAUGCUUGCCCUCUGUGUUCUGACUGAUUUUUUUAUUUUAGUAGUAUGGCUCAUCCAGGGCCAGCAUUCUCCCAAGUACCGAAUGUGACACUCGACGCUUUUGAUAAUUAAUCUGAUUUUUAGAGAAUUGUUUUCUAUGAUAUGUGAGACCUUUGUUUAAGACUUUAGCAUUACUUAGUCUCUGCCUGCCAGUCUCCAUUCUAGAGUCAAGUGAGACAGGAGAGAAAGUGGAUACUAACUCACUGCAGAUAUCCUACACAACAAAGGUCCCAAAACUGCCUUAAUUCCUGCCCAGGUGGAAGCCAGUCCCCUGCUGCACAGUCAUCCAGUCUAGGUUUUCUAGAUUUGGUAAUGUAAGAUUGACACGUUCUUACCAAAGAAAUCAUUUCUACCCCAUUAAGCUCACUCACUUCAUGUGUUUAUUUCUUUUGAAAACUAUGGUGAGGAAGUGAUCAGAGUCAGUGUCUGGUGUAGUGGAAGCAGCUCGGCAUUUAGAGUUGAUUAGCAGUGGCUCUGCAGCCAAUUAGCUAUAUCUUGAGAGAGGAACUUUAUAUCUUUAGAUUUUGGGAGGGGGGCACAUCUCUAUAAAACAGAGAUUUGAUCAUGUCAUCAAAGGACACAUCCUAUUGAAAACAUAAACCAGAAUAAAGUAUAAUAACAUCCUUGUGCUAAAGUCACAAUGAAGAAAGCAGAUCAGCUCAGAAGCUUCCAGAAGUGACCCCAUAACUGACCAUCUAUUGGGCUUAGAAAUAGAGGUUUCUGCCUGCAGAGCUUUGAUAUUCCUGUAAUGUCCAGUAGAUCCUCUUUUUCAGAGUUUUCUUUUCAUCUCAUGCCAGAAAGCCUUGAUGUUUGAGAAGAAGUCAAGUCUAGCCCAGUCGAUUUGAUGCUUGGGUAGCAUUGAGAAGGCAGAGGGUAUCGCUCUGCCCUGUGUUUGCUGGCCUGGGCACCCACAGCUCUGCCCACAGGCAGGGUCCCUGGCCCUGGUUGGUGAAUGUGAAGUCAGGGGCACCUGUCCUUGCUCUACUGUCUCUACGUCUGUGUAAAUAGGAUUGUUUCAUUCACAUCUUCUCCGUGUCACGGACCGUCCAAGUAUCGUGCGGAUCUCUGCGUCUGCUUUGGAUUUAUUUUGAAAGUUCUCUUUGUGGAAAAAAAAACAAAUAAAUGUACAGUCUAAUAAAGGAUAUUUCCUGUGCCGUGU